rnacentral:tRNA from 1 species
GGAGGUAAAAGGGUAACUGGUGUGCCUCGCGGUCUUCAAAACCGAUGUACGAGCCAAAACUCGUAGAUGAGUUCGAUUCUCAUUUGCCUCCGCCA